UGGAUUGGCAGCGUGAGUGA
rnacentral:misc_RNA from 1 species